UUCUAUUCUCUAUUCACUUCUUCAAACUGUUGGUUUAAGAGCUGCUGUUUUGAUAUUUUAGGAUCUUUUAAAUUAAUUUACUCCAGACAUCUUGGAUCAUGGGAACUUACCGGUAACAUAUAUUUAUCGGAGAUAGGAAAUAUUACUACAUUAUAUUCAUCAUACUGUUUCCUCUAGGUUCCAGUGCCCCAGUGCAGGUCUGUUCCAGUGCAGUAUAACAGGCCUGGUGUUCAGGAUGGAGGGAGAAGGAGAGGUGCUCUAUAGGACAGUCCCCUGGGACAGGAAGCUUCUAUUCCAGAGUGGAAAGAGACCUGCAGGACCUCUGUUCAUGUUUAGAUGCCUUAAGGGGUCUGUCUGUCAACUCCACCUCCCACACUGUCAGAUGCAUUCUGGUGGUGGAUGUGACUUCCUGUCUGUAGCCCAUGUGACUGAUGACAUCAUUGAGUUUCUCCCUCCUCUUGAGACAACAGACACACAACACAGACACACAACAGACACACACACAAGUUAACAAUGGAAACACAGGUUGUAGGCAGCCCACCUAAGGGCACAGCUGAUUAUAUACAUGUGACCACUCCCUAGUGGUGUGAUCACCUACGUCAAUGUUUGUGUGUAUCAAAAAGCUGACGUUACCUUAUAAGGCAACCGAGUACAAUAGUUUCUCUGAAUUCAUUAGCAUUGUCCACUGUUACACAAAAUGUCAACACCAGACAGUGGUAAACUUCUCUUUAUCUAGUUUCAGUUUGACUCAGACCUGACAUGCAAUGCACACUCUUGCAACAGCUGGAGCAUAACCACAUAGAUGGCUUGUGCAAUGUAGAUGGCUUGUGCAAUGUAGAGGAAACCACUUCUAUCUGGCUGGAAUUCAAUCAAACACACAAUGGGGAAUGUAAUGCUAGCAUAACGGCUAAACAUGUAAUCAAACACACAAUGGGGAAUGUAAUGCCAGCAUAACGGCUAAAUAUGUAAUCAAACACACAAUGGGGAAUGUAAUGCCAGCAUAACGGCUAAACAUGUAGUCAAACCAUUAUGGAGAGUAGCAAGGAACAAGUAUCAGGUUUGACUGAAUUCCAUCUGCUGACCUUUUUCAUCUUAUUGCUUUAUUCUCAAACUUGAUGUAUCUUUUUACUCACAUUCUCUGAAAAAAAAGGUUAUUUUGAAGCACAACUAACCUGUCUAUUGUUGGCUCUUUCAAGGUGCGGGAGGUGAUGGAAAGGGAUGGAAUUAGAGAAAUUCUAACAACUUCUCAGUGUAAACUAACCCUGAAAAAAGAAUACACCCUCUCCACUUAUUCUGCAGAUGGACAUCGAAUACAACCAAAAGAAGCAGAGUUUGUGAAAUGUGAUUCCUAUGAAAACUACUACUACCCCACAUUUCAGUUGUUCUUACAAACUAUAGUUAAAGAAGUUGAUCUGCUUCUGAAAGAAAAGGAAGGUGAUGAACUUGUAUGGAACAGACUUGUCUG